CCCACGGCUGCCACAGCCCGAGCAAGCGCCGUAGCCGCCGCCGCCGCCCAUGCCCACUGGGGGAGCGCUUCCGGCGCGCCGCGCAGGUGGUGGAGAGGCAGCCUGGCGGGGAGGGGCCCUCUCCCGGGCGCGCGGAGCGCAUGCCAGUCUCCCCUCGCAGGACUAUGGGACUAUACAACUGUACCGGGCAGCAGCAGUGAUAUAGGAAGAUGCUGAAAGGUAUCAUCAUCUCACACUGCGCAGGGGGAGGCCAUGGUCAACCCCUCCUCUAUUCCACCAAAGACAACCACGGGGCCCUGUGGGCGCCAGGAGUCAACACCGACAUGACGACACACCACCUUUAAACUUAUAGUCUUAGGCACAGACUGCUUUUAAUGCUACAGCUGUUAAUUUCACAGUCUCUAUGUUUUUACCUUAUGCUGUCCAAAGACCAAAAUAAAGAGGUUGAUUGGUUG